rnacentral:rRNA from 1 species
UACGUAGGGACCAAGCGUUGUCCGGAAUCAUUGGGCGUAAAGAGCGUGUAGGCGGCUAUUUAAGUCCUGCGUGAAAUCCUGCGGCUCAACCGCAGACGGUCGUGGGAAACUGGAUGGCUAGAGUGCGGGAGAGGAGAGUGGAAUUCCCGGUGUAGCGGUGAAAUGCGCAGAUAUCGGGAAGAACACCGAUAGCGAAGGCAGCUUGCUACACAAUUAUUGACACUGAGGCACGAAAGCGUGGGGAUCAAACAGG